rnacentral:rRNA from 1 species
GAUGAACGCUGGCGGCGUGCCUAAUACAUGCAAGUCGAGCGAACGGACGAGAAGCUUGCUUCUCUGAUGUUAGCGGCGGACGGGUGAGUAACACGUGGAUACCCUACCUAUAAGACUGGGAUAACUUCGGGAAACCGGAGCUAAUACCGGAUAAUAUUUUGAAACGCAUGGUUCAAAAGUGAAAGACGGUCCUGCUGUCACUUAUAGAUGGAUCCGCGCUGCAUUAGCUAGUUGGUAAGGUAACGGCUUACCAAGGCAACGAUGCAUAGCCGACCUGAGAGGGUGAUCGGCCACACUGGAACUGAGACACGGUCCAGACUCCUACGGGAGGCAGCAGUAGGGAAUCUUCCGCAAUGGGCGAAAGCCUGACGGAGCAACGCCGCGUGAGUGAUGAAGGUCUUCGGAUCGUAAAGCUCUGUUAUUAGGGAAGAACAUAUGUGUAAGUAACUGUGCACAUCUUGACGGUACCUAAUCAGAAAGCCACGGCUAACUACGUG